GUGCGGCUCAGAGGAUCAGCAGUGUGAUGAAGUGCGUUUAAUCCCCAGGCUGAUGGAUCGACUCCUACACAAGUUUUUUGCCAUCAUGAAAUAAUUCAAAUCACUGGAGCAGCAGGAAAAAACAUCCCUUUCUCAGGCCCCCAGCCUCCUGACAUCCACCGCAGGCCCCGUUUCAGUGACUGUGAGCACCUCCCAGCAAGAGCAGUGACCUGGGGGCAGGAGAGUCCUGGACGUCCAUGGGCAUCCAAUGCCCAGCCCAGGCCUUGGAAACCUUCAGAGCAAGCAUCCCACCUGGGAGGCUUUGAUAAUUUCUUCUGUAGCUCCAAGCAUAGUGAACCCCUCUCUGUGAAGGAAGAACUGUCAGGCAUUCAAGGCAGAGCCGGCUGUGAUGGCACAACAUGACCCUCAGUCCACUGCAAGUCUGUGGCCUGAAUACCAGGCUGUAUUUGUUUGCCACUGCCUGCUGAAGCCUUCGACCUCAGCCUGCCCUUCUCUCCCCCAGCGCUGACAGUCACACUACGCAGAGGGACUCGGCUGUGAGUUUCAGCAAGAACAAAAGGAUGUUGUUACCCCGAGGAACUGUCGGUGGGCACAGAUGCAGCUGUGGUGUGAUGCCAGGAUUGCCAUGAGGUGCCCGAGCAUGCUGAUUUCCUGCAGACCCAUGCUGAGGACCUUCCAAGGGGGAAAUAGCUCUUGGCAGCUGCCAGCCCUGUGCUGUUCCUGCUGUCACGACAAGGAGAAAAUGCUUCACAGGACAAUGAGCUCAGCUCAGCGGCACAGAAAUACCUGGACACAACUGGAAAAGUUCCCUGGAAAAGGCACCGGGACAAGUAAAGAGCUUCUCUGUCUUGGAAAUCUUCACAGACAGACAUCUGAAACACAAGAAAAAUCAUCUGCAAACUUGAGUUGUGCAUUCCCCUACUUGCUCUAUCUGUCUUCCCAGGGCACAAACACCUUGGGGAAAUUCGGGCUUUGAGCCUCUGCAGGAUUUGCUUCUGGUUGUGUCCCAGAUGCCUUCAGCUCUGAUAGCUGCUCAAAUGUCAUUCUCCUGCAGUUGGCAAGGCCUGGGAGCGGGCUUCCAUGGGAGCAGGUCGAUUUACAUGGUCCACGGCCUUGAGCUCCCUUUCACAGUCUCAGGCAAGCCCCUGAAAGCAUUGAUCUUUGUCCAUACAACUCUGGCUGUGUUUGCCUGAGGAGGGCCGUGCAGCCCAGAGGAGCUCCCAGAGCCCUGGGACACCCCACUUUCUGGUCUCCUUACCCCAACCCAAAUCCUCCCAAGGACUCUCCCCUGAAAUACUCUAGGAAAUGCUCAGUUAAUCUCUUCCCGCUCAUUUAGAGGAGCAAGUGGUGUCUGUGGGUGGGCUGGGCUGGUGGAGCUCUCCCGCCCAGCAGCUAUUAUCCAGCAGCUCCUCGGGGGGGGGGCAGGAAAGCCACUACCUAAUCCGUCCCUGGGCUGGAUGGGUGCCUGGAUCGGCUCGGUGUGCUCAGACAGCACACACGCUAUACGCCCGCCUCAUAGGAGAGCUCAUGGCACAGGCAUCUGUCACCGAAACCUGUCUGCAUGAAAGGCUGUCUGCACAACUGGGGGGGGAAAGAAAGGCAUGACAGCACAAUUAGUGAGAGCAAAUGAAAGGCUGUUUGAAGAGGAGGAGGGAGGAAAGGGGAGAGCUGCACAAAUCCCUGGUGGGGUUUUGGGCUUGACAUCAAAACCCCUUAACAGUGUAUUACUUCAGCCCCCAAUGUGGACAGAUGUUGAGCUGUGGCUCAAAGGAAGUCAGAAAUCUUUCCUUAGAAAAAAAUUGGCUAGGAAACUAAAGAAAAUAUUGUGAAAGAAAAGGAAAUAAAAGCCCACUAAAAAAGAUUUAUCACUGC